UGGUGGAGUGAUUUGUCUGCUUAAUUGCGAUAACGAACGAGACCUUAACCUGCUAAAUAGCCCGCGUUGCUUUGGCAGCGCGCCGGCUUCUUAGAGGGACUAUCGGCUCAAGCCGAUGGAAGUUUGAGGCAAUAACA
rnacentral:rRNA from 1 species